CCUACGGGAGGCAGCAGUGGGGAAUAUUGGACAAUGGGCGAAAGCCUGAUCCAGCCAUGCCGCGUGUGUGAAGAAGGCCUUCGGGUUGUAAAGCACUUUCAGUGGGGAAGAAAGCCUUGGGGCUAAUACCCUCGAGGAAGGACAUCACCCACAGAAGAAGCACCGGCUAACUCCGUGCCAGCAGCCGCGGUAAUACGGAGGGUGCGAGCGUUAAUCGGAAUUACUGGGCGUAAAGCGCGCGUAGGCGGUCUGAUAAGCCGGUUGUGAAAGCCCCGGGCUCAACCUGGGAACGGCAUCCGGAACUGUCAGGCUAGAGUGCAGGAGAGGAAGGUAGAAUUCCCGGUGUAGCAGUGAAAUGCGUAGAGAUCGGGAGGAAUACCUGUGGCGAAGGCGGCCUUCUGGACUGACACUGACGCUGAGGUGCGAAAGCGUGGGUAGCAAACAGGAUUAGAUACCCUAGUAGUC
rnacentral:rRNA from 1 species